rnacentral:ncRNA from 1 species
AAAUGCCUCGUCAUCUAAUUAGUGACGCGCAUGAAUGGAUUAACGAGAUUCCCACUGUCCCUACUUUUGUCUAAUCUAGCGAACCAACAGCCAAGGGAACGGGCUUGGCAGUCAGCGGGGAAAGAAGACCCUAUUGAGCUUGACUCUAGUCUGAUAUUGUGAACUAUUUUUAUGGGUGUAGAAUAGGUGGGAGAGAGGAGUAAAAUUCGAUCGAUUCUUUUUUUUGAAAUACCACUACCGUAAAUAAUAUUUUACUUAUCUAUUUAAUUUUUUAAAAGUAAUCGAAAGAUUAUUUUUUAUAUUUUUGAUUUUAAAUUAAAUUCUUAUUUAAUUUUAUUUUUUGUAUAGAGAAAAUAUCAGAAGGGGAGUUUGGCUGGGGCGGCACAUCUGUUAAAUAAUAACACAGGUGUCCUAAGAUGAGCUCGACAAGAACAGAAAUCUUGUGUUGAAUAAAAGGGUAAAAGCUCCAUUUGAUUUUGUUGAUUUUCAUUACGAGUAGGAAUACAAACUGUGAAAGCAUGGCCUAUCGAUCCUUUAUAAAAUUUAAAUCCUAGGACUUC